AAAAUUAAUCAUCAAUCAUUAAUUAGAAAAAGAUAUUAAAAUAAUAAAUGAUUUCUUUUACAUAAAAGAAUAUAUAUGAAUAUGUAAAGUAAAAGUUGUGAAAAAAAAAACGAAUUUCGUUAUUAUUUCAAAUUUUUUUGAAAACUCACACAUACUCACUGUCAUAAUGGCUGGUAUGACUAAUGCUUUUGUUAUUUUUGCGAAGCUAUUAAAUCGCCAGAAGAUGAAAUACAUAAAGCAGAAACGAAAUUUUUAUGACCAACAAAGAAGAAUUGUUCACCCGUUUUUACAUGUUUGACAGUAACUUUAUUUCCCAUUGGAUACACAAGAUGCUCUCCAUCAGGAUGUAAUUGUAAACCAUUUCUCAUUAUACCUAAAAAUAAAUUUAUUCAAAAUGACUUUAUUGCUCAUUGCAAUUGAAUAAUAUAAAUGUUACAUUAUUAAAUAUGAUUAAAGAAAUAUUAUUAGGAAAGUAAAAAAUAUAAUAUAUUCUUAGAACAUAUUUUUUGCAUGAAUAUACAUAUAUAAAAUUUUUGGUUAUAUGAUAAAUAGAUACUUGUAUGUGUACGUGCGUAUACUCAUAUUUUGUUUGUAUGUAUGCAUAUGUCAAUUAUAAUGUCAAUUACAACUUUUUAUUGAAAA